ACUCCUACGGGAGGCAGCAGUGGGGAAUAUUGCACAAUGGGCGAAAGCCUGAUGCAGCAAUGCCGCGUGUGUGAAGAAGGCCUGCGGGUUGUAAAGCACUUUAUCGGGAAAGAAAACCAAGGCUAAUACCCUGGUCUUGACGGUACCCGUGAAUAAGCACCGGCUAACUCCGUGCCAGCAGCCGCGGUAAUACGGAGGGUGCAAGCGUUAAUCGGAAUUACUGGGCGUAAAGCGAGUGUAGGCGGCGACGUAAGUCGGAUGUGAAAGCCCCGGC
rnacentral:rRNA from 1 species